ACAGUCCAACAAACCACCAUGUAUGAACCCACCAUUUAACAGUUAUCAACCCACGGCCAAUAUUGAUUUGUCUGUACCUCCACUCACUCUCCAACCCUACCUUCCUGAAUUAUUUUGAAACAAAUUUCAGAUUAUAAAUCUUUUAGUCUGUAAAUAUUUUAGGAUGUAUCUCUAAAAGAUAAGGACUCUUAAAAAACAACCACAAUACCAUUAGCAUACCUGCAAAAAUGAAAAGUUUAUCAUCAUCAAAUUUCCAGCCAAUGCACAAAUUUCUUCAAUGAUCUCAUUGUUAUUUUUCAUUAUUUGUUUAUUUGAAUCUGAAUCCAAAUAACAUCCUGUGCUAAUUUCGUAUGUUGACUUGGCUAGGUUAAGGAAUAUCCAGAUAGCUGGUAAAACAUUAUUUCUGGGUGGGUUUGUGAGGGAAUUUUCAGAAGAGAUUAGCAUUUCUACAGUAAACUGAGUGAAGAUCCGUCCAGAUGAAACAAAAAGGCAGAAAAAAGGUGAGUUUGCUCUUUCUCCGAGAGAGCUGGAAUAUCCAUCUUCUCCUGCCCUCAGACGUCAGAGCUUCAAGCUCUUGGGCUUGCUGACUCCAAGAUUUACAACAAUGGCUUCACAGGUUCUCAGGCUUUCAGACUCAGACUGAAUUACAGCACCAGUUUCCCUGGUUCUCCAGCUUCCAGAUGGCAUAUUGUGGGACUUCUCAGCUUCCAUGAUCACCUGAGCCAAUUGCCAUAAUAAAUCUCCUCUUAUAUCUCUCUAUAUAUAUCCCAUUGGUUACAUUUCUCUGGAGAACCUUGAUUAACACAGAUCCAUAAACUGCAACUGCUUACAGUGAGAAGGAGCUGAAAAAAGAAGAGGAAGAACCUAAGACAAGGUAAAGAAGAGGGAGAAGGUACGAAAAAAAGUAAGAAAGUAAGAAAUAAAAGCAAGAGCAAAUGGGGUCAAGAGAAUAGAAGGAAUCUGGAUAAAGAUUCUAUUUUUUGAAAAGUAAUAAAAUGUCUUUCCCUGCAUCCUGAACCCAGGCACAAAGGCCUACUUUUCCUAGAUGUGACACUACUUCAAAAGAGACUGUGAGCAAGGGACUUUGCCAAGUCAAGAGAAUGCAAAAUUGAUACUCCACAUUACAGAAAGCAUUUAUUUUUAAUAGGUAGAUAGAUUUUAUUUUUUUAUUUUUCAAAUUCAGGCUAGUUUUUGCCAUAAUAUGAUUAUAAAUUUUAUAUCAGUUGUGCAAUGACAUUUUACAUAAACUGAGUGUUUACUACUAGGGAGCCAGUGAUCGAUUCCGGGAUCUUAAACUCUUUGCAGAGAAGCAGGCAGAGUGUGGCCAUAAUGCAUGGCUGGAUUGUGCUAAACAGGACUUUCUCAUGAAAAAAACUCAGUUAUAUUCAACCAAAAGAGGAUGACGAGAUAAAAUGGAACAUUUAAAUGAUAUAAGCUAAAUUUAAGCAGUUCAUGUAUGAAUUCUGCCUGAAAUUAGGAGAAACAUGAUAGCAUCAUUCAGAGCCAAAGAACUGGAUUUAUAUCUCAAUUCUGCCACUUGCUUGCUCGGUGACCUUGGACAAGUCAGAACUAUUUUCUCAGCUGGAAGGUGAAAGAAUCAUACCUGCUCUGGCUGCUACUGUGGGUGGAAGAUCAUCAUUAGAGUGCAUGAAGGACUUUGUAAACUGUAAAGUGCUCUGCAAAUGUUAGCAUUUUAUUUAAGAGAUUUUUAUUAUAUAUUGGAUGAAAUAAGGAAGGAGAAUUGGAAUGAUACAGUUUUUUAUUGCCUUAUACUAUAAUUCAAAUAUGAUACAGUUCAUUAUAUUUCAUAUUUAUGACUAUUUCAAUAAAAGGUUACUUGUCAAAACAUUUAUAUUAAACAAAAUAAACCUAUAAACCUAUUAUAGUAUUUUAUCUAUAGAACAUCAGAUUUGAUAUAUAUAAAGUAAAUCUUUUCUACAGAAAUAUUUAUUUCUCUUAUUAUACUUUUGUUGUAUAGAUAAUAUACUCAUAUAACUCAAAAACAAGAAAUUUAAAAAGAUAUGCAACAGAAAGUAUCAUUCCCAUCUUUGUCCCACAAUGGCCUAUUUCCUAUGCCUCUUCCAAUAAAUAACCUUCGAAUAAGGGUCUUAAAUAUAAUUUUGCAUUAUUAUUGCUUUAUGCAAUAAUAAUUUCCAUUAUUUGCUUUAUGCGUAUGCAAGCUUAAGUUUUUUUUUUGUUUUUUUUUGCAAUAACAUGGGUUUGGUUCUUUUGGUUUAGGGUAUGAGAAGAGGAGACAGGAGCUAACUCUGCUAGUCAACAACAUAACAUUCCCAAGUUCACACACUGGUUCAGUGACAGAGCCAGAUUUGGGCAAAAUUUGUUUGUUUCCGAAGCUGGCAUCCAGUUCAGCAUGUCAGACUGGAGAGGGCUGGAGUUGGAGGUCACAGAAAAACGCAAUGAGGAAAGAAGGGAAAUGACAAAGGGAGCAGGAAGAAGGCAGGCAUUGCGUAUUUUGCCUCUACCUGGGGAAAAGAUCCUAGUCUGGGAGUGGCAGGAGGUGAACCAUAAGCGAUGCGUGCCCACCUGCAAACAGGUGCCCAGCCUCUCCCCAAGCUGAGCAACUGUGUGCACAUCUAGCAGCUCAAGUGCUCUUCCUAGUAUGCCACUAUGGCUUGCAGUGAAGAUCCAAGGUCAACAGGGUAGAGUGAGCCCAUGGGGCCAUGUUUGUUCAUCUGAGGGGCAGGAGAGCUGGUGCUGCUUCGGUGAGAAAUUUUUUUUUCUUCCAAGUGAAACCCAGAAGUCCAUCAGACUCCUUUCCUCUGCAUGGUCGGAACCUGGAGAAAGGUCGUAAAUAACCCCCAAAGGUGAAGCUUCCUCUGCUAAGGUUGACUUUUUGAGGAUCCUAUCAAGGGGCAAACACUCUGACGCGUGCAGAACAUGUGGCUUAAAGAGUAACCUCGUAGCCUUUAGCUAAUUAGCUUGUUCUGGGAACUUUCUGAGAUGAUGUAAGAUCUUCUGUCAGAAAACUUUUGGAACUUAGAGAGAUUUGUUUACAAAUGGUUGGCUUGAUAUUUUUCUUGAACAUUAUAGUCUUACACACACACAACUAUCCAUUAUCAAACAGCAACGGAAUUAGUGGGAUUUGUUGGUGUCCUAUAUGUUUGUUUCUUUCUACCUGCCUUUAGUCACUUCAAAAUAACCCAAGAAUUCUAGUUUGAAUUUCAAAGAUGUUUCUAAACUUGUGUUUUUGUUGCAUUAUGUUAUCCUAAAAAUUCUCUUAAUUUCUCUUGAUUUUUUUUUCCGGUAUAAUUGUUUUCAUGUGUUUCUAUUUUCUUAAAUAUGAAAAGUAACACUUGGAAAACCACAUGUGUCUGCUCUAUCCCAGAACAGCAACUCAACAGAAAACACCUUGGAGUCUUGGAACUUGGUGAUUUUUCUUCCUUUCUUUCUUUCACAUAUUUUGAGCUGAAUUCAUAGUGUGUCCUGAUCCAAAAAAAAAAAAAUUGGCUAACAAGAAAGAUGCUGGGAAUGUUCAAUUUGUUCGUAUCUGUCAAAGCUAUCUUAGGAUUUAAACAAUUAUAUGAGCCAGGCAUCCACAAAAGAAGAAAAGAGAAGGUAAAGUGCUAUACAGUAAGAAUUUAAAAGCUUUUGAUAUCAGGAGUUCGAGAUCAGCCUCAGUAAAAGUGAGACCCUGUCUCUACUGAAAAAAAAAAAG